AAACUCCUUCAAUGGACUAUUUAUUGACUUAGGAGCUAUUUCUAGAUAUAUCCUGUCUUCAGAAGAAUUAACAGGAAAGCACCAUUUCUCCAAAAAAUGUGUGACUGUGAGAAACAGAGGCUCCCAUCUCGCGCUAACUGAGGCGAACCCUGGAGGGCGCUGCACUGGCGAGGACGCUGCGGUCUUAGAUGUGCACAGCACUAGGUGAGAACAGACACAGAGGGACCGGGUCACAGGCUCCGGAAGGUGCUGUGGACUUGCAGAGGUCCUCACUCUAGGAAUAAGUACAUAAGAGCUAAUGAGAAACUUGGAUGCUGUCUUGAAUACGUCAUUCAUUUUUCUUUAUGAGGUGAAUUUCAACUUGAGCAAGCUAAAGCAGAAAAAUAUGCAUGUAAACACCACAAACUAAAUUUCUUGAUGUGAAGGCUAUCUACUUAAAAUAACUUCACAUGAAAGUAAUGAAUUCACUCUCACAGUGGACAGAACAGAUCAAGUUUGAGAGGGAAGACAAAAAUUUCUUGGGAUGCACUCCCCGUUGAGAGAACCUGUCAGAUGAUGGAUUUUAGUAAAUACCAAGAAAAAGCCCUGGGAGACAAAGCAACAUGGCUUCCAGAUACCAACAGCACAACCAUUGCCUGUAACUCCUUCUGUACUUUCUUAGAGAGCUCCAUAAAACAAUAUAUUCAUCAAUGCAGGCAUAUUUACAUUGCAGAAAACUCAACUUAGACUGGAUUAAAUAAUUAUGUAUUGGUUCACGUACCUGGAAGUCCAAUUGAGGAAUAAAGUACAAGUUUUCUUGACCCAGAUGCUAAGAGAUGCUGUCUCGUCACUAUGUCUUUUGCAGAUUACUAAUUCUAUGUUGGCUGCAGGAACAGCUCAUGCUUAGGUCACGGGCCGCUGGUGCACAGUUAUCUUUUAUGUUAAUUGACACAAACCGAAAGGAAACACCCCAAAGCUAAGGAUCAGCUUUCUCCUAAGUACAAGAGCUGACUAGGGAGAAAUGGAUACACAACGACUAUCUAGGUACUAUUUGAAAGAGUACUCAUUUUAAUGAGAGAGAAUUUAAUUCAAACUGUCCCCAUUAAUCAGGGAAUAAACCUAUGAAGAAUAAAGAUCCAUUUACACUGCAUUGGAACAGGCAAGGAUAAAAUUACCUUCUCUCUAAGAUGUGUGGACAGAAAAGGUAAAUCUUAGAACCCAUGUCAGUUUGGCUGCAUGUGACAGAACAAUGCAAAAUACCAGGAUUAAGCAACAUAGAAGUUUAUUUUCCUUUCACAUAAAAGAAUCCAGAAAAAAUCUGGUCUGGUGACGCUAUGGUUUUAAAAAAGGAAACAAAAAAUAAUCAAGGGCUUCCAGUUCCUAUUGUUCUGCUCUUCAGUGCCGGCUUCCAUCUUCAAUAGAUUAUCUCAUCGUUAAAAGUAUCUGUCUUUCAAAAGCUCUAGCCCGUCAUUACUUCUACAUUUCAUUUCAAACAAAGACAAAGAAAAGCCAGAAGGGUGCCGCCUUACUCCCGCAAAGAGCCUUCUUGGAAGUCCUAAGGCAACACUUAUGCUUGCAUCUGAUUGGCCAGAAAUGUGUCACAUGACCAUAUCUAGGUGAAAGAAAACUGCUGGGCUAUGCAGUCUUUCAGCAGCAUACCUUGCCCAGGCAUCCACUCUCGUACAAAGGACACAAGGAAGAAUACCAGAAACUACUGAUUCUCUUAUUCUCAGAACCUAUGGAAGUGACCUAGAAUAGCCAAGACAAAUUGAAAAACAAGAAUAAGUUUGGAGGACUUAUGCAAUUGGUUUUAAAAAAUUACAGCAAACUAAACUAAUCAAAAGAGUGUAGUAUUGGCACAAUAUACACAUCAAUGGAACAGAACAGAGUAUACAAAAACCGAUGCAAACAUACAUAGUCAGUUGGCUUUUGGUAAAGAUUCCAAGAAAAUUCAAUGAGAACAAAACAGUCCUUUUAAAGAAUGCUUGCUGUAAUAAUUGGGUAACAGUUUGGGAGGAAAAAUUAAGCUCAACCAUUGCCUCACAAUAUACAUAAAACAUUAAUACAAAAAGGUGUUAUAGUUCUAAAUGUAUGAGCUAAAACUCUAAAACUUCUAGAAGAAAACAGAAGAAAAUCAGUGUGGCAUAAGGAGUCCUUGAAAAGAAGAGAAAACUCAGAAAUCAUGUUAGAAAAAUAUGGUAGAGAGGACUAGUUUGCAGCUCUGGACAGAGUAGCAUGCAGAGGCUUGCAUUGUGAAUUUUAGCUCCAGAUGGACUGCAAGAACAAAUCAGCAAUUCUCAGAGGACCUGCAGGCUCUCUGAAAGAAGCAGACAGCUCCUUGCAGGACACCCCAAAUACUGUGAGUGCCCCAGGUGCAGAGGUGGGAAAGGGAGACCCUCCUCCCCCGAACACACCCCACCAACUAGAGAAGCUGAAGGUCUGUUUGCGGGAGAAGUUUUGGACUUGACCCGGAGCUGAGUCAAGUUAGAGAGCCAGUGAAAUACAGGGGUAGGACAAAGCAGCAGAAAGGCCCUGGGAGCUCGCUCGGUCCCCAGCAGCCCAUUCCUGCCUGGCACCACAAGGAUCCAUUGGGAAGGUGGGCAGAGGAGCAGGGGGUAAAACUCCACAGGGAGAAGGAAUUCUCUCCCUUAACUUUGUAACAAUUUGAACCCAGUGAGAAACCUCCUGGCCAGAACUCAGGGAGGGCAGGAAUUCACAGGCAGGGGAAGAACCAAGCCCUUUUCUCUCACAGCUGGGAGGCGGAUAGCUUCAGGCAAAUUUUCAAGUCCUUCUCACCCUCUUCCUGGAAACAGACUUUGGGCUGUCGUGUGGGGUGUGGUGGGAGAGAGACCCGGCCCUUCAGUUUGUGUGGGAGCUGGCUGAGGCCCGUUACUGCUGGCUUUCCUCCACUUCCAACCUGCAGGACUCAGCAGAGGCAGCCAUAAUCCUCCUAGUUACACAAUUCCAGUGUUGCUGGUGAGGCAAAAUGGUGCAUUCACUUCAGAAAAUAAUUAAAAAGAGGUAAAACUGACACUGACUGAAACCGCAUACAGUAAGAUUUUCUGUUGCUUUAAAACUGGCAGAUAAAUCACAAUAUCCUGAAUUGUAGAACUGCAAAAUUCGAUCUAUAAAAAUUUGUCAAGAGAUAUAAUUACUGUAAAUAAAAAUUCACAACAGGAGAAGUGAGUCUGUCAAAUUUGAUGGCAGAAAAUAUUCCUUAAAGGAAUCAAAUCUGUGUGUUAAAUAUAAAAGUUAAUUCCAAUGAGAAAAUUACAUGGAAAUAUGGAAGCUAUUUAACUGUGCCAUAUAAAACACUGACCCAUAACUUAGUUUGACAUUAUGGGAUCUGUUUCAGAAGCCACAAGCUUGAUGAACAAUGUCUCAGUGUUGCCAUAAUUAUAAUUUUUUAAGUUUGUAUUUUAAAAUCUUCCAUGUCAAAAUGUCGAAGGUCACAAUGGCCUGAGACCAUGAAUUUCCUUUCCCGUUACUGUGUCAGUGGGCGCACCACCUGAGCCACCCGUGGCCUUCCUUUCACAAGGAAAAGGAAGACAUCAGCGUCUCCAGGUGCUCCUCUCAGCGUGACAGGAAGAAUGGCAAUCACUAAAGAAAACCAAAGAAAAUGCAUAUAUAACUGGAUCUAAAGAACUCUUUCAAACAACAUUAUCUCCUCUCACAAGUUAUUUUACCAAACGAUGCUGCAGUGCAAACUGCAGAGCCCAGCAGUGCGGGUGAACAUUCCGGUUUCUCUGUUCAACGUUACCUGUCCAGCACCAGACCCUUGCUGGGUCUUAGUGCAAUGACACCAAGGAUCACACCUGAAAUUAUUCGAGAGACAAAACCUAGAGGGAAAGGAAAUUGUAGAAAGAUUGCAUUAUUUACAAAGUUAAACCAUUUUCUGGAAUGUGUCCAAAAUGGCUGUUAUUGGGCAGGGAGACCUUGAGGGCUGUGAUCAACCCAUUUGGUUCUGCCCCAUGUAAAUAAUACGGCAACUCAUUCUGCCUAUACCGAUGAUAAUGAAUUGCAAAAAUGUACAAUUGUGUACUUGCUGGAAUUCAUGAUUCUUUAAUCAC
rnacentral:lncRNA from 1 species